GACGUCACGACGUCACGAUGUCACGAUGUCACGAUGUCAUGAUGUCAUGAUGUCAUGAUGUCAUGAUGUCCUGAUGUCACGACGUU
rnacentral:miRNA from 14 species